UACGUAGGGCGCAAGCGUUGUCCGGAAUUAUUGGGCGUAAAGAGCUCGUAGGCGGUUUGUCGCGUCUGCUGUGAAAACCUGAGGCUCAACCUCGGGCUUGCAGUGGGUACGGGCAGACUAGAGUGCGGUAGGGGUGACUGGAAUUCCUGGUGUAGCGGUGGAAUGCGCAGAUAUCAGGAGGAACACCGAUGGCGAAGGCAGGUCUCUGGGCCAUUACUGACACUGAGAAGCGAAAGCAUGGGGAGCGAACAGG
rnacentral:rRNA from 1 species